UCACCUCCAUCACCUUCACCAUUUCCUUCACCUACAGCACCGGUAACACCUUCUCCAUCACCUUCUACGCCUUCACCAUUUCCUUCACCUACAACACCGGUAACACCACCUUCACCCUCACAUUCCCCUCCAUCACCUUCUACGCCUUCACCUACAACACCGGUUACACCUUCUCCCUCACAUUCACCUCCAUCACCUGCUACACCUUCACCAUUUCCUUCACCUACAACACCGGUAACACCUUCACCCUCACAUUCCCCUCCAUCACCUGCUACACCUUCACCAUUUCCUUCACCUACAACACCGGUAACACCUUCACCCUCACAUUCCCCUCCGUCACCUGCUACACCUACAACACCGGUAACACCUUCACCUUCACAUUCCCCUCCGUCACCUGCUACACCUUCACCAUUUCCUUCACCUACAACACCGGUAACACCUUCACCUUCACAUUCCCCUCCGUCACCUGCUACACCUUCACCAUUUCCUUCACCUACAACUCCUGUAACAC
rnacentral:lncRNA from 1 species